rnacentral:lncRNA from 1 species
AAAGAUAUAUAAAUAAAGGUAUUGUGUCCAUCUACAACUAAAAAAAAUUUUUAAAAAAUUUGAAUACAAUAUUUUUUGGUUUAAUUAAGUCAUAUGCACAUACAUUGAAAUUAAUCAUUUGACUCAAAAUUAUUAUAAAAUUAUGUUAUAAAUAAAAAAUAAAUACAAUGAGAGUAAAAGAUGUCAGUCAAGAAGUGAUGGGACAUUUUUGCAGUACUACCCUUUGUUUCUGAGUAUUUCUGGGACAUGUAACAGAAAGGGGUCUUCUGGGACAUUGUACAUAUUUGGUUUUAGGUUUUCUGUAGUGCUUGUACUAAUAUACAUUCUGGUCAAUGCUGUAUUCUUGCUUUUCAUUCUUAAUAAUGAUUAAGUGAUGUUGUAUUUUAAUACUUAGUACAUAAAUGGCAAUAAAGUGGUAA